GACGAACGCUGGCGGCGUGCUUAACACAUGCAAGUCGAACGAGUGGCGAACGGGUGAGUAAUACGUGGGUAACCUGCCCUCUUUUUGGGAUAAGCCUUGGAAACGGGGUCUAAUACCGAAUAACGGGGGAGGGGCUCGCGGCCUAUCAGCUUGUUGGUGGGGGGAUGGCCUACCAAGGCGUUGACGGGUAGCCGGCCUGAGAGGGUGACCGGCGACAGUGGGACUGAGAGACGGCCCAGGGGAGUACGAGAGGGAGCAGUGGGGAAGAUUGCACAAUGGGCGAAGGCGUGAUGCAGCGACGCCGCGUGGGGGAUGAAGGCUUUCGGGUGGUAAACCUCGGGCGCAAGCGAACGGGUAGGUGGAGAAGAAGCGCCGGCUAACUACGUGCCAGCCGCCGCGGUAAUUC
rnacentral:rRNA from 1 species